rnacentral:rRNA from 1 species
CCUACGGGUGGCAGCAGUGGGGAAUAUUGGACAAUGGGGGGAACCCUGAUCCAGCCAUGCCGCGUGUGUGAAGAAGGCCCUCGGGUUGUAAAGCACUUUCAGUGAGGAAGAACGCCUGGUGGUUAAUACCCAUCAGGAAAGACAUCACUCACAGAAGAAGCACCAGCUAACUCCGUGCCAGCAGCCGCGGUAAUACGGAGGGUGCGAGCGUUAAUCGGAAUUACUGGGCGUAAAGCGCGCGUAGGUGGCUUGAUAAGCCGGUUGUGAAAGCCCCGGGCUCAACCUGGGAACGGCAUCCGGAACUGUCAAGCUAGAGUGCAGGAGAGGAAGGUAGAAUUCCCGGUGUAGCGGUGAAAUGCGUAGAGAUCGGGAGGAAUACCAGUGGCGAAGGCGGCCUUCUGGACUGACACUGACACUGAGGUGCGAAAGCGUGGGUAGCAAACAGGAUUAGAUACCCUAGUAGUC